GAUGAACGCUGGCGGCGUGCCUAAUACAUGCAAGUCGAGCGAACGGACGAUUAGCUUGCUUUUCUGAUGUUAGCGGCGGACGUGUGAGUAACACGUGGAUAACCUACCUAUAAUUCUUGUAUAACUUCGUGAAACCGCAUCUAAUACCGGUUAAUAUUUUGAACCUCAUGUUUCAAAAGUUUAUGACGGUCUUUCUGUCACUUAUAGAUUGUUCCGCGCUGCAUUAUCUAGUUGGUAAGGUAACGGCUUACCAAGGCAACGAUGCAUAGCCGACCUGAGAGGGAGAUCGGAGACAAUGGAAGGGAGACACGGAACAGAAGACGACGGGAGGCAGCAGUAGGGAAUAUUGCGCAAUGGGCGAAAGCAUGACGGAGCAAGGGCGCGUGAGAGAAGAAGGUAUUCGGAUCGUAAAACUCUGUUAGUAGGGAAGAAAAUAAGUGUAAGUAAAUGUGCAAAAAAUGACGGUAACUAAUCAGAAAGCCACGGCUAACUACGUG
rnacentral:rRNA from 1 species